rnacentral:rRNA from 1 species
UACAGAGGUCCCAAGCGUUGUUCGGAUUCACUGGGCGUAAAGGGUGCGUAGGCGGUCGGGUAAGUCUGAUGUGAAAUCUCGAAGCCUAACUUCGAAACUGCAUUGGAUACUAUUCGGCUAGAGGAAUGGAGGGGAGACUGGAAUGCUCGGUGUAGCAGUGAAAUGCGUAGAUAUCGAGCGGAACACCAGUGGCGAAGGCGAGUCUCUGGACAUUUCCUGACGCUGAGGCACGAAAGCCAGGGGAGCAAAC